rnacentral:piRNA from 1 species
UAGACAACUAUUUAAAGGACCAGCGCUAGCC